UUCAAAGAAAAAGAUCAUGUAGCUGGAAGUCUAAAGACAGCAUCUUAUUCCAGAACCAGGCCUAUGGAGAGACCCCAGGGAUCAAGGGAGUACUUAGGAGUCAGAAAGAGAAAAAUUUGAUGAUUCCUUGAUGUCAACAGCAACUACGAAAGUGGAAUAUAGGGAACUUGCUGCAGCCUACCAAGAAGUGCUGUGGAAAAAGAUUUGAAAUCAGUGACCAGAUAAUGUGAGUUUUCCCUUAUGGAACUGUUGAGGCUGACCACAUCAGGUCCUGCCAGAGACUAUAUAAUUUUUUCCACUUCUACAAAUUGUAUUGAAAAUUUCAAUGUGGUAAUUAUUAAUCUAAAUAAUAGUUCUUAUGAAAAGGCUAAAGCAAAUUAGAGCAUCAGAAAUCUGGAAGUUAAAUGAUCUUCUGAAAUUUGCAUGAUGAACUCACUGUUGUGGAAGAAUAAGUAAUAAAACAGCUCUACUCAUGCUGAUGAACAAGUGGGCAGGGGGAAUGGCGAGGGAUGCCAUCACUAAGGAAACCGUGAUCAUAGAGGAAUGGUGACAGCAAGAAAGCGAACACACAAGUUAAACUUUGGUUUAAUAAGUGCACUGUGUAAGCUGUCAGUGG
rnacentral:lncRNA from 10 species